GGAGGGCAGGGGAGGAUACGUAAGGAGGAAGGACGGGAGUGUCGGGACAGAGUGGGAGGGACGGAGCCUCGGUGGACCGCAAGGAGUGAGGCCUGUGGGGAGUGGAGAAAUUAAAUAAAACCGGGCGGGCUUUAAAGAAGCAAAUUAAGAGGCUAGGAUUUGGUGGGCGAGGCCUAGAGGGGCGUGACCUUUGGGGCGGGGUCUCGGCGGAGCGUAGAGCUGCUUUGAGUGGGCGGGGCCAUCAUGGGGCGGAGCCUGACGUGGAAAUGUUAGCCCGCUCCCUUCUGCAGCGUAGCAUGAGACACCGCACUCUAGCCUCCGUCCCGGCCCUGUGGGCCUCCAUCCCCUGUCCACGCUCUGAGCUGCGACUGGACCUGGUUCUGGCUUCUGGACAGUCAUUCCGGUGGAGGGAGCAAAGCCCUGCGCACUGGAGUGGCGUGCUGGCCGACCAGGUAUGGACACUGACCCAGACUGAGGAACAUCUUUACUGCACUGUGUACCGAGGGGAUAAGGGCCGGGUUGGCGAGCCCACACUGGAAGAGCUAAAGGCCGUGCGACAGUACUUCCGGCUGGAUGUCAGCCUUGCUCAGCUGUAUCACCAUUGGAGUUCUGUGGACCCCCACUUUCAAGAGGUGGCUCAGAAAUUCCAAGGUGUGCGACUUCUGCAACAGGACCCCAUCGAGUGCCUCUUCUCCUUCAUCUGUUCCUCCAACAACAACAUUGCCCGCAUCACUGGCAUGGUGGAGCGGCUCUGCCAGACCUUCGGACCUCGGCUCCUCCAGCUUGAUGAUGUCACCUACCAUGGCUUCCCCACCUUGCAGGCCCUGGCUGGGCCACAGGUGGAGGCUCAGCUCAGGAAGCUGGGCCUGGGGUAUCGUGCUCGCUAUGUGAGUGCCAGUGCCCGAGCCAUCCUGGAAGAACGGGGUGGACUUCCCUGGCUGCAGCAGCUGCGCAAGGCCCCCUACGAGGAGGCCCAUAAGGCCCUCUGCACCCUGCCUGGGGUAGGCACCAAGACAAGCCCCAGGCUGUGCCCGUGGACGUCCACGUGUGGCAGAUCGCUCAAUGUGACUACAGCUGGCACCCCACCACCGCCAAGGGUCCGAGCCCCCAGGCCAACAAAGAACUGGGAAGCUUUUUCCGGAGCCUGUGGGGACCUUAUGCUGGCUGGGCCCAAGCAGUGCUGUUCAGUGCUGACCUGCGCCAACCCCACCGAGCUCAGGAGCCACCAGCCAAGCGCAGAAAGAGAUGCCCAGGGCCGGAAGGCUAGAGUGAUCUCUUCUACCUGGCAGGAAGCAUGGUGUGAGGCAGCCCCAACUUUCCAACUGAACCCAGCAAAAGAGGAGCUACACCCAGUUUCAUGUAUCAGUCUCAGGGAAGGACUCCGAUGGGCUCUGCUGGAGUGACAUGCCUAUGCCUUUACCCCCAGAACUGUUGCCAGAGGAAUAAGUACUAUACAGGUUCCCUGACCAGGGAUCGAACCUGAGCCACGGCAGUGAAAGUGCCAAGUCACAACCACUGGACCACCAGGGAGUUCCUUGUGUCAUAUUUUAGAUUCUACACUAGCUGGGCUUAUGGCUGCCCAUAUACACCACACUUCCCAGCCUCCCUUGCAGUCAGGGGUGAUCAUCUGACAAACUGUCUCCAGUGGAAAGUGAUUAGAAGAGAUAAGAGCCACAGCUGGCCACGGCCUUCACACACUCCUCCUUGCUCUUUUUCUGUGGACUUGGAGUGGCAAUCGCACUUGGAGUGACCUUGUGCAGAGUGCAUGUUUAAGACAGCAAAGCCAGCAUACGUGGGGGCCCCGCCUGAUGGUGUGGAACAGAGAUGUCCCCCUACCCCCACCUCAGCCAGCCUGGAACGUAUGCCCGGAAAGAUGUGGGAGAGAAAGACGCUAUCGUGUUUGAGACAGCCAGGAAACUGAGGCUUAAGAAGUG